AGAGUUUGAUCAUGGCUCAGGACGAACGCUGGCGGCGUGCCUAAUACAUGCAAGUAGAACGCUGAAGAGAGGAGCUUGCUCUUCUUGGAUGAGUUGCGAACGGGUGAGUAACGCGUAGGUAACCUGCCUUGUAGCGGGGGAUAACUAUUGGAAACGAUAGCUAAUACCGCAUAACAAUGGAUGACACAUGUCAUUUAUUUGAAAGGGGUAAUUGCUCCACUACAAGAUGGACCUGCGUUGUAUUAGCUAGUAGGUGAGGUAACGGCUCACCUAGGCGACGAUACAUAGCCGACCUGAGAGGGUGAUCGGCCACACUGGGACUGAGACACGGCCCAGACUCCUACGAGGGGCAGCAGUAGGGAAUCUUCGGCAAUGGGGGCAACCCUGACCGAGCAACGCCGCGUGAGUGAAGAAGGUUUUCGGAUCGUAAAGCUCUGUUGUAAGUCAAGAACGAGUGUGAGAGUGGAAAGUUCACACUGUGACGGUAGCUUACCAGAAAGGGACGGCUAACUACGUGCCAGCAGCCGCGGUAAUACGUAGGUCCCGAGCGUUGUCCGGAUUUAUUGGGCGUAAAGCGAGCGCAGGCGGUUUGAUAAGUCUGAAGUUAAAGGCUGUGGCUCAACCAUAGUUCGCUUUGGAAACUGUCAAACUUGAGUGCAGAAGGGGAGAGUGGAAUUCCAUGUGUAGCGGUGAAAUGCGUAGAUAUAUGGAGGAACACCGGUGGCGAAAGCGGCUCUCUGGUCUGUAACUGACGCUGAGGCUCGAAAGCGUGGGGAGCGAACAGGAUUAGAUACCCUGGUAGUCCACGCCGUAAACGAUGAGUGCUAGGUGUUGGAUCCUUUCCGGGAUUCAGUGCCGCAGCUAACGCAUUAAGCACUCCGCCUGGGGAGUACGACCGCAAGGUUGAAACUCAAAGGAAUUGACGGGGGCCCGCACAAGCGGUGGAGCAUGUGGUUUAAUUCGAAGCAACGCGAAGAACCUUACCAGGUCUUGACAUCCCGAUGCUAUUUCUAGAGAUAGAAAGUUACUUCGGUACAUCGGUGACAGGUGGUGCAUGGUUGUCGUCAGCUCGUGUCGUGAGAUGUUGGGUUAAGUCCCGCAACGAGCGCAACCCCUAUUGUUAGUUGCCAUCAUUCAGUUGGGCACUCUAGCGAGACUGCCGGUAAUAAACCGGAGGAAGGUGGGGAUGACGUCAAAUCAUCAUGCCCCUUAUGACCUGGGCUACACACGUGCUACAAUGGUUGGUACAACGAGUCGCGAGUCGGUGACGGCAAGCUAAUCUCUUAAAGCCAAUCUCAGUUCGGAUUGUAGGCUGCAACUCGCCUACAUGAAGUCGGAAUCGCUAGUAAUCGCGGAUCAGCACGCCGCGGUGAAUACGUUCCCGGGCCUUGUACACACCGCCCGUCACACCACGAGAGUUUGUAACACCCGAAGUCUGUGAGGUAACCUUUUGGAGCCAGCCGCCUAAGGUGGGAUAGAUGAUUGGGGUGAAGUCGUAACAAGGUA
rnacentral:rRNA from 1 species